rnacentral:rRNA from 1 species
UAGCGUAGGGUGCAAGCGUUAAUCGGAAUUACUGGGACGUAAAGCGUGCGCAGGCGGUUAUGCAAGACAGAUGUGAAAUCCCCGGGCUCAACCUGGGAACUGCAUUUGUGACUGCAUAGCUAGAGUACGGUAGAGGGGGAUGGAAUUCCGCGUGUAGCAGUGAAAUGCGUAGAUAUGCGGAGGAACACCGAUGGCGAAGGCAAUCCCCUGGACCUGUACUGACGCUCAUGCACGAAAGCGUGGGGAGCAAACAGG